rnacentral:rRNA from 1 species
UAGGUUAACGAGGCGAACCGGGGGAACUGAAACAUCUAAGUACCCCGAGGAAAAGAAAUCAACCGAGAUUCCCCCAGUAGCGGCGAGCGAACGGGGAGCAGCCCAGAGUCUGAAUCAGCUUGUGUGUUAGUGGAACGGUCUGGAAAGUCCGACGGUACAGGGUGAUAGUCCCGUACACCAAAAUGCACAGGCUGUGAACUCGAAGAGUAGGGCGGGACACGUGGUAUCCUGUCUGAAUAUGGGGGGACCAUCCUCCAAGGCUAAAUACUCCUGACUGACCGAUAGUGAACCAGUACCGUGAGGGAAAGGCGAAAAGAACCCCGGCGAGGGGAGUGAAAAAGAACCUGAAACCGUGUACGUACAAGCAGUGGGAGCACCUUCGGGUGUGACUGCGUACCUUUUGUAUAAUGGGUCAGCGACUUAUAUUCUGUAGCAAGGUUAACCGUAUAGGGGAGCCGCAGGGAAACCGAGUCUUAACUGGGCGUUAAGUUGCAGGGUAUAGACCCGAAACCCGGUGAUCUAGCCAUGGGCAGGUUGAAGGUUGGGUAACACUAACUGGAGGACCGAACCGACUAAUGUUGAAAAAUUAGCGGAUGACUUGUGGCUGGGGGUGAAAGGCCAAUCAAACCGGGAGAUAGCUGGUUCUCCCCGAAAGCUAUUUAGGUAGCGCCUCGUGAAUUCAUCUUCGGGGGUAGAGCACUGUUUCGGCUAGGGGGUCAUCCCGACUUACCAACCCGAUGCAAACUACGAAUACCGAAGAAUGUUAUCACGGGAGACACACGGCGGGUGCUAACGUCCGUCGUGAAGAGGGAAACAACCCAGACCGCCAGCUAAGGUCCCAAAGUCACAGUUAAGUGGGAAACGAUGUGGGAAGGCACAGACAGCCAGGAUGUUGGCUUAGAAGCAGCCAUCAUUUAAAGAAAGCGUAAUAGCUCACUGGUCGAGUCGGCCUGCGCGGAAGAUGUAACGGGGCUAAACUGUGCACCGAAGCUGCGGCAGCGACACUAUGUGUUGUUGGGUAGGGGAGCGUUCUGUAAGCCUGCGAAGGUGGCCUGUGAGGGUUGCUGGAGGUAUCAGAAGUGCGAAUGCUGACAUAAGUAACGAUAAUGCGGGUGAAAAGCCCGCACGCCGGAAGACCAAGGGUUCCUGUCCAACGUUAAUCGGGGCAGGGUGAGUCGACCCCUAAGGCGAGGCCGAAAGGCGUAGUCGAUGGGAAACAGGUUAAUAUUCCUGUACUUGGUGUUACUGCGAAGGGGGGACGGAGAAGGCUAUGUUAGCCGGGCGACGGUUGUCCCGGUUUAAGCAUGUAGGCGGAGGUUCCAGGUAAAUCCGGUACCUUUUUAACGCUGAGGUGUGAUGACGAGGCACUACGGUGCUGAAGUAACAAAUGCCCUGCUUCCAGGAAAAGCCUCUAAGCAUCAGGUAACAUUAAAUCGUACCCCAAACCGACACAGGUGGUCAGGUAGAGAAUACCAAGGCGCUUGAGAGAACUCGGGUGAAGGAACUAGGCAAAAUGGUGCCGUAACUUCGGGAGAAGGCACGCUGAUAUGUAGGUGAAGCCCCUGCGGGUGGAGCUGAAAUCAGUCGAAGAUACCAGCUGGCUGCAACUGUUUAUUAAAAACACAGCACUGUGCAAACACGAAAGUGGACGUAUACGGUGUGACGCCUGCCCGGUGCCGGAAGGUUAAUUGAUGGGGUUAUCCGUAAGGAGAAGCUCUUGAUCGAAGCCCCGGUAAACGGCGGCCGUAACUAUAACGGUCCUAAGGUAGCGAAAUUCCUUGUCGGGUAAGUUCCGACCUGCACGAAUGGCGUAAUGAUGGCCAGGCUGUCUCCACCCGAGACUCAGUGAAAUUGAACUCGCUGUGAAGAUGCAGUGUACCCGCGGCAAGACGGAAAGACCCCGUGAACCUUUACUAUAGCUUGACACUGAACAUUGAGCCUUGAUGUGUAGGAUAGGUGGGAGGCUUUGAAGCGUGGACGCCAGUCUGCGUGGAGCCAACCUUGAAAUACCACCCUUUAAUGUUUGAUGUUCUAACGUUGGCCCCUUAUCGGGGUUGCGGACAGUGUCUGGUGGGUAGUUUGACUGGGGCGGUCUCCUCCCAAAGAGUAACGGAGGAGCACGAAGGUUAGCUAAUCCUGGUCGGACAUCAGGAGGUUAGUGCAAUGGCAUAAGCUAGCUUGACUGCGAGCGUGACGGCGCGAGCAGGUGCGAAAGCAGGUCAUAGUGAUCCGGUGGUUCUGAAUGGAAGGGCCAUCGCUCAACGGAUAAAAGGUACUCCGGGGAUAACAGGCUGAUACCGCCCAAGAGUUCAUAUCGACGGCGGUGUUUGGCACCUCGAUGUCGGCUCAUCACAUCCUGGGGCUGAAGUAGGUCCCAAGGGUAUGGCUGUUCGCCAUUUAAAGUGGUACGCGAGCUGGGUUUAGAACGUCGUGAGACAGUUCGGUCCCUAUCUGCCGUGGGCGCUGGAGAAUUGAGGGGGGCUGCUCCUAGUACGAGAGGACCGGAGUGGACGCAUCACUGGUGUUCGGGUUGUCAUGCCAAUGGCAUUGCCCGGUAGCUAAAUGCGGAAGAGAUAAGUGCUGAAAGCAUCUAAGCACGAAACUUGC